GAAGCCCACCAGACUGUCGCUGGUGCAAGCCGCAAGGCCGACGCGCAAGCGCCGGGUGGAAACACCGCACUGGAGGAACGUCCGGACUGCAUAGGGCAGCGUAGCAGCUAACGGCUGUCCACUGAAACCCGUGCGCGCAAGUGCACGGCAUAAGGUGAGGAUCAGAGCAACAGAGACGAGCCGAUUAAGUUCGGGUGAAACGGGCAAUCUCUACGCGCAGCAAUACCAAGUAGGCCAGCGUUGAUGGGGCCCCCAGAGCUGGCGGGUAGGUAGCACCGAGCCGCUGGGCGACCAGCGGCCCAGAGUAAUGACAGUCACUUCGGCGUGUCCGCAAGGACGCGCCGUUGCACAGAAUCCGGCUUAUCGGUGGGCUUCACAC
rnacentral:RNase_P_RNA from 1 species